AGGACGAACGCUGGCGGCGUGCCUAACACAUGCAAGUCGAACGGAGAGCAUAUGAAGUAUUCGGUACGGAAUGCGUUCUAGUGGCGAACGGGUGAGUAACACGUGGGCAACCUGCCCCAGACUGGGGGAUAACAUUGUGAAAACAGUGCUAAUACCGCAUGACAGGGUUCCGGGCAUCCGGGACUCUUGAAAGGAGAAAUCCGGUCAGGGAUGGGCCCGCGUCCAAUUAGCUAGUUGGUGGGGUAACGGCCCACCAAGGCGACGAUUGGUAGCCGAACUGAGAGGUUGAUCGGCCACAUUGGGACUGAGACACGGCCCAGACUCCUACGGGAGGCAGCAGUGGGGAAUAUUGGGCAAUGGGCGAAAGCCCUGACCCAGCGACGCCGCGUGAAGGAUGAAGGUCUUCGGAUUGUAAACUUCUUUGAUCAGGGAAGAAAGAAAUGACGGUACCUGAAAAACAAGCCACGGCUAACUACGUGCCAGCCGCCGC
rnacentral:rRNA from 1 species